GCGGUACUUCUGACCGUGCAAAGGUAGCAUAAUCAUUUGCCUUAUAAUUGAAGGCUAGUAUGAAUGGUUUGACAAGAAUGUAGCUGUCUCUUUAUAAUUUAAUAGAAUUUUAUUUUCAGGUGAAGAAGCCUGUAUUUAAUUAAAAGACAAGAAGACCCUAUCGAGCUUGAAAAAACUUAAUAGAAUUAAAGUUAAUAUUUAUAAAAAAUUGUCUAUUAAACAUUUUAGUUGGGGCGACUGAGGAACAUAAAAAGCUUCCUUUAUAAACUGAUUUAAAUCAAACUAGAAUUGAUCCAAAAUAUUUUGAUUAAAGGAAUUAGUUACCGUAGGGAUAACAGCAUUAUCUUUUUUAAGAGCUCAUAUCGAAAAAAAGGUUUGUGACCUCGAUGUUGGACCAGAAUAUCCUAAAGGUGCAGCA
rnacentral:rRNA from 1 species